rnacentral:rRNA from 1 species
UACGGGGGGGGCAAGCGUUGUUCGGAAUUACUGGGCGUAAAGGGCUCGUAGGUGGCCAAUUAAGUCAGACGUGAAAUCCCCGAGCUCAACUCGGGAACUGCGUCCGAUACUGGCAGGCUUGAAUCCGGGAGAGGGAUGCGGAAUUCCAGGUGUAGCGGUGAAAUGCGUAGAUAUCUGGAGGAACACCGGUGGCGAAGGCGGCAUCCUGGACCGGCAUUGACGCUGAGGCGCGAAAGCCAGGGGAGCAAACGGG